rnacentral:rRNA from 1 species
UACGUAGGGUGCGAGCGUUAAUCGGAAUUACUGGGCGUAAAGCGUGCGUAGGCGGUUCUCCAAGUCCGUUGUGAAAGCCCCGGGCUCAACCUGGGAAUGGCAGUGGAAACUAGGGGACUGGAAUCUGGCAGAGAGGGGUGGAAUGCCGCGUGUAGCAGUGAAAUGCGUAGAGAUGCGGCGGAACACCGAUGGCGAAGGCAGCCCCCUGGGCUGAGAUUGACGCUCAGGCACGAAAGCGUGGGGAGCAAACAGG